GCUGGGCGCGGUGGCGCACUCCUGUAAUCCCAGCGGCUCAGGAGGCUGAGGCAGGAGGAUUGUGAGUUCAAAGCCAGCUUCAU
rnacentral:sRNA from 1 species